rnacentral:lncRNA from 1 species
AUCCGCCGCCAUUACUGCAUGUUAGAGCUCAUCAUCGCCAUCAUUACAUUUAACGCAAUUUAUUUCUAUCUUGGCCUUCACGUCCACCACCAAUUGUUUCUCAGUCACCAUUGUUUGAUGAGGGCAUUUUGGUAAUUUUAUACUUUAAGGGUAUUUUGGUAAUUUUAAUUUCGAGGUAAACAUUUUUUAGAUCCUUAAAGAUUAUUUAAAUUGUGAUACAACUCAUAUGUAUUUAAUUUUAUUCGUAAUAAUUGUUUCAUGAC